ensembl:lncRNA
CGUAAUUCCCUUUUUAUGCACGUUUCUCUCAACGAGUAUUCUGACCUUCAACUUAAGCCUGAGAAUAGCAUGCUAUUCACCCGCUAUUCACCCGCUAUUCACCCGCUAUUUAUUUGGGGUGGAUAUCAAAUAUGUGAAGGUGUGACUACUGAUACACUGUAUUAAUGGAGGUGUGACUACUGAUACACUGUUUUAAUGGAGGUGUGUCUACUGAUACACUGUUUUAAUGGAGGUGUGUCUACUGAUACACUGUUUUAAUGGAGGUGUGUCUACAGAUACACUGUAUAAAUGGAGGUGUGGAGGAGGUGUGUCUACAGAGACACUGUAUUAAUGGAGGUGUGGAGGAGGUGUGUCUACAGAGACACUGUAUUAAUGGAGGUGUGUCUACAGAUACACUGUAUUAAUGGAGGUGUGGUGGAGGUGUGUCUACAGAUACACUGUAUUAAUGGAGGUGUGUCUACUGAUACACUGUAUUAAUGGAGGUGUGGAGGAGGUGUGUCUACAGAUACACUGUUUUAAUGGAGGUGUGGAGGAGGUGUGUCUACAGAUACACUGUAUUAAUGGAGGUGUGGUGGAGGUGUGUCUACAGAUACACUGUAUUAAUGGAGGUGUGGUGGAGGUGUGUCUACCUUGACUUAAGAUCCACCACCUUCACAAGUGAUGACUAAGGUUCUCAGUGCAACUGCUACUUUCUUUAUGAAAUUAAAUAACAUUCUGUUUUACUACAGAUGGGGAGCCCCACCGGGCCUUCACGACUGGACUACCGACGUUAUCUACCCGAGGGAGUUAUCCAACUGGCCCCUCCGUUGCGACGUUACCUGAACGCCCAUCUGCAGCCCGCUAAUCGUUAGCUGUCUUAUCGGCUGUUGUCUGAAUAGGUCUGUCGCACAAUAUUUCUUGGGUCACUACAACUAUAUCUAUUUUGCCAAUUGGAUUGGUCCCCUCUACCACACGGAACCCCACUAAUCUACCGACAGAAACGCACGAGGUGGCUAAAAACAGACCUCCAUCCUAUGCUAGUUUGCUACCGAUGGCCUGGCUAGCUGUCUGAAUCGCCGUGACCCCCACCAACCUCACUACUCACUGGACCCUUAUGAUCACUCGACUAAGCACGCCUCUCCUUAAUGUCAAUAUGCCUUGUCCAUUGCUGUUCUGGUUAGUGUUUAUUGGCUUAUUUCACUGUAGAGCCUCUAGCCCUGCUCACUAUACCUUAUCCAACCUUUCAGUUCCACCACCCACACAUGCGAUGACAUCACCUGGUUUCAAUGAUGUUUCUAGAGAUAAUAUCUCCCUCAUCAUCACUCAAUACCUAGGUUUACCCCCACUGUAUUCACAUCCUACCAUACCUUUGUCUGUACAUUAUACCUUGAAGCUAUUUUAUCGCCCCCAGAAACCUCCUUUUACUCUCUUUUCCAGACGACCAAUUCUUAUUGCUUUUAGCCGUACCCUUAUCCUACUCCUCCUCUGUUCCUUUGGUGAUGUAGAGGUGAAUCCAGGCCCUGCAGUGCCUAGCUCCACUCCUAUUUCCCAGGAACUCUCUUUUGAUGACUUCUGUAACCGUAAUAGCCUUGGUUUCAUGCAUGUUAACAUUAGAAGCCUCCUCCCUAAGUUUGUUUUAUUCACUGCUUUAGCACAAUCUGCCAACCCGGAUGUCCUAACCGUGUCUGAAUCCUGGCUUUGGCAGACCACCAAAAACUCUGAAAUCUCCAUCCCUAACUACAACAUUUUCAGACAAGAUAGAACGGCCAAAGGGGGCGGUGUUGCAAUUUACUGCAGAGAUAGCCUGCAGAGUUCCGUCCAACUAUCCAGGUCUGUACCCAAACAAUUUGAACUUCUACUUUUAAAAAUCCACCCCUCUAAAAAUAAGUCUCUCACCGUUGCCGCCUGCUAUAGACCACCCUCUGCCCCCAGCUGUGCUCUGGACACCAUAUGUGAACUGAUUGCCCCCCAUCUAUCUUCAGAGCUCGUGCUGCAAGGUGACCUAAACUGGAACAUGCUUAGCACCCCAGCCAUCCUACAAUCUAAGCUUGAUGCCCUCAAUCUCACACAAAUCAAUGAACCUACCAGAUACCACCCCAAAGCCGUAAACACGGGCACCCUCAUAGAUAUCAUCCUAACCAACUUGCCCUCUAAAUACACCUCUGCUGUUUUCAACCAAGAUCUCAGAGAUCACUGCCUCAUUGCCUGCAUCCGUAAUGGGUCAGCGGUCAAGCGACCUCCACUCAUCACUGUCAAACGCUCCCUGAAACACUUCAGCGAGCAGGCCUUUCUAAUCGACUGCUCUUAAAUACAAGUAAAACCAAAUGCAUGCUAUUCAACCGAUCACUGCCUGCACCUGCCCGCCCAUCCAGCAUCACUACCCUGGACGGUUCUGACUUGUGGAUAACUACAAAUACCUAGGUGUCUGGUUAGACUGUAAACUCUCCUUGCAGACUCACAUCAAACAUCUCCAAUCCAAAGUUCAAUUCUAGAUUUGCUUCCUAUUUCACAACAAAGCAUCCUUCACUCAUGCUGUCAAGCAUACCCUCGUAAAACUGACCAUCCUACCGAUCCUCGACUUCGCCGAUGUCAUUUACAACAGAGCCUCCAAUACCCUACUCAAUAAAUUGGAUGCACUCUAUCACAGUGCCAUCCGUUUUGUCACCAAAGCCCCAUAUUCUACCCACCACUGUGACCUGUACGCUCUCGUUGGCUGGCCCUCGCUUCAUACUCAUCGCCAAACCCACUGGCUCCAGGUCAUCUACAAGACCCUGCUAGGUAAAGUCCCCCCUUAUCUCAGCUCGCUGGUCACCAUAGCAGCACCCACCUGUAUCACGCGCUCCAGCAGGUAUAUCUCUCUAGUCACCCCCAAAACCAAUUCUUCCUUUGGCCGCCUCUCCUUCCAGUUCUUUGCUGCCAAUAACUGGAACGAACUACAAAAAUCUCUGAAACUGGAAACACUUAUCUCCCUCACUAGCUUUAAGCACCAGCUGUCAGAGCAGCUCACAGAUUACUGCACCUGUACAUAGCCCACCUAUAAUUUAGCCCAAACAACUACCUCUCCCCCUUCUGUAUUUAUUUUAUUUAUUUAUUUUACUCCUUUGCACCCCAUUAUUUCUAUUUCUACUUUGCACAUUCUUCCACUGCAAAUCUACCAUUCCAGUGUUUUACUUACUAUAUUGUAUUUACUUCGCCACCAUGGCCUUUUUUUGCCUUUACCUCCCUUAUCUCACCUCAUUUGCUCACAUCGUAUAUAGACUUGUUUAUACUGUAUUAUUGACUGUAUGUUUGUUU